rnacentral:rRNA from 1 species
GCAACGAGCGCAACCCUUGUCUCUAGUUACUAACAGUUUGGCUGAGCACUCUAGAGAGACUGCCGGUGAUAAACCGGAGGAAGGUGGGGAUGACGUCAAGUCAUCAUGGCCCUUAUGGGCAGGGCUACACACGUGCUACAAUGGACGGUACAGAGGGUCGCCAACCCGCGAGGGGGAGCUAAUCUCACAAAGCCGUUCGUAGUCCGGAUUGCAGUCUGCAACUCGACUGCAUGAAGUCGGAAUCGCUAGUAAUCGCAGAUCAGCAUUGCUGCGGUGAAUACGUUCCCGGGCCUUGUACACACCGCCCGAAA